rnacentral:rRNA from 1 species
UGCAGUCGAGCGGAACGAUAGAGCUUGCUUCCAGGCGUCGAGCGGCGGACGGGUGAGUAAUGCAUAGGAAUCUGCCCGAUAGUGGGGGAUACCUGGGGAAACUCAGGCUAAUACCGCAUACGUCCUACGGGAGAAAGCAGGGGAUCUUCGGACCUUGCGCUAUCGGAUGAGCCUAUGUCGGAUUAGCUAGUUGGUGAGGUAACGGCUCACCAAGGCGACGAUCCGUAGCUGGUCUGAGAGGAUGAUCAGCCACACUGGGACUGAGACACGGCCCAGACUCCUACGGGAGGCAGCAGUGGGGAAUAUUGGACAAUGGGGGAAACCCUGAUCCAGCCAUGCCGCGUGUGUGAAGAAGGCCUUCGGGUUGUAAAGCACUUUCAGCGAGGAAGAAGGCCUGAGGGCUAAUACCCUUCAGGAAGGACAUCACUCGCAGAAGAAGCACCGGCUAACUCCGUGCCAGCAGCCGCGGUAAUACGGAGGGUGCGAGCGUUAAUCGGAAUUACUGGGCGUAAAGCGCGCGUAGGUGGCUUGAUAAGCCGGUUGUGAAAGCCCCGGGCUCAACCUGGGAACGGCAUCCGGAACUGUCAGGCUAGAGUGCAGGAGAGGAAGGUAGAAUUCCCGGUGUAGCGGUGAAAUGCGUAGAGAUCGGGAGGAAUACCAGUGGCGAAGGCGGCCUUCUGGACUGACACUGACACUGAGGUGCGAAAGCGUGGGUAGCAAACAGGAUUAGAUACCCUGGUAGUCCACGCCGUAAACGAUGUCGACUAGCCGUUGGGG